rnacentral:tRNA from 1 species
GCCCUCUUAGCUCAGUGGUAGAGCGUGUCACUCGUAUUGUAGAGCCCAUGUUUACAUGACAAGGUCAGUCGUUCAAGUCGGCUAGGGGGCA